rnacentral:lncRNA from 1 species
AGAAGUAGAGCAGGAUCUGGGUUACAUCUCUUCGAGAUCAUCCCAUGGAACCACGAAAACAUACCACAAAGAGACAUAGGAGACGAGUACACAUCUCAAACAUCCAUGGGAGGUCAUGGAUUAGGUAGGGAUUGAAAGAGAUUAGGGUGGGAGCAGCUAGGGUUUAAGUGAGGUUACAAAGAGAACUGGAGAGGAAAUGGAUUCAAGGACGUCAG